UCUGUAUAGAAACAAAAAAAUUUGGAAAGGACUAUGCCAGAACUUGUGAAGGGAUACCGCACUGCUCUUUGACAUAUGCUGGAUGUCACAUGGAGUCCUUCAGGGAAGAAAUCUGUUCUUCCCAAAGGGUCUGGAAGACAACUAUCAAGCCCAGCAGUUCAGAAGCCACAGCUUUCUUGUACAAUUUUGGCCAUGCAACUUCAUCUUCAUAGCUCUCCCUUGCAUCUCUGCAAUUUGUGCUAACUCCUUCUGCGCUCAGUGACGGAGAACCAUAUGCAAGAAGCCUGAAGAAGCUCAGCAUGUUUAGACCAGCAGAAAAGAGCUUCAAGCAAAGACGUGAUUCUCUGUAAAUACGUUAGGGUAAGCACCAGGGAAGGAUAAGGACUAUUUAAGCUAAUGGAUGAUGUUGUGAGCUAUUACGGCAGUAUGUUUGCAGACUUCUGGAAAAACAUCCCUUCAUAGUCCCUUCACUUCUGGAAAGAUUUCUCUGUCAGCAUGGGGUUAGAAAUCAUCCCCUCUCCUUUUUUUCUUCCUCAAAUGAAAGAUUUCAGUCUUGUAUGCAAUUCUGCAGCAGGUGGUCAAUGCAGAAAGUGGAACAACUGAGGAAUUAAAAGAAUGAUUAUACCAAGUAUCCUGCUAUUAAGUCAUUCUGCGAAUCAUACCUACUGUAUGAUAAAAUAAAACACAGCAAGGAUCUUUUUAACCCAUGAAAUUUCAUAACACAUCCCAGUCCCACCACUGCAGUACCUCUGGGAUGGUCAGACACACCAAAAUGUUUGUAUGGCUGAGAGCCACCAGCCAUGCAGCCCGGAGGCAAGUGAUCUCCAGAAUAGCUCCCAGGCAGAAGGUGGCAGCUGUUUGCUGUGGCUCCCAUUGCCCCACUGCGUGUCAGGACUGAGCUGGGCAUGAAAGGACUCUAAACAGAGCUGGGUGACAGUCUCAGCAGCCCCAGGUGUCUGCCCUUCCCCAGUGGCAAAGUGUUGGGGCUGCUCUGCUGCCCUUCUGCCAUCACAGUUCCCCUUUUCCACAUGAUAUUCCAGGAAGGGCACCACAUUUCUCCCCAAAAUCUUACAAGCUAUAAAAAGGCCAUGUUACUCAUAAAACUAUAUGUCAUCACUAUAGCACCACUCAAUCAAAGAUCUCUGGGUGCUUUUUAAAGUACUAAUUCACUUUUAGCAUUUGAGGGCUGUCAGUGCUUGUUUUAUAGCCAAGCUGAGCAGCUAUCCUUACAGAAACAGCGCUGAGCAUGGUACCUACACUUCUGGUUGACUUCUGGUGCCACCGAGUGGUCCUUCAGUCAAGAAAGCAGCUUGGCCAGGAUUACACUGAAGCAGAGCCAUGAGCAGACAGCUUCCAGCUCCUUGCAGGGCUGGUACUUUUGUGCUACAUUCAUUGCUUUACGUGGUGAUGGUAAGGGUGGCGCCUGGGUUUGGCUAGCUAUUGAUACUGUGCACAGUUGACAACAUUAGGAACACAGGUAUGGAUUUACCCACAGGUGCAUAAUAUGUGUCUCAGAGAAGAGAAAUGACACCCUCCUAAUAAGUAAGAGCAGUAAAGUGCAGAAAAAAUAAACCAUGUAACUGCUAACAAGGUCAUUGGAGCAGUCCUUAAAACAAAUUAAAUCUGUCUCCAUCAACACCUAACUAAUGGUUGGUCAUCUUCUUUUUGUAUUGUGCCUCUGCAGACACACCCUGUUCUUGCAUGUUUGCUGAUUCCUGCUACAGGUGAUGUAAUAAUACAAAAUUUACAUAUCGAUUAACAAUUACCUUGAAGUUUACUCGCACCUUGAGGAGAGACAGUGGAACGCCACACAGAUAUGUAGGGUCCAUUAAGCCCACAACAUACUAAAUAUUAGAAUUAAAAACUGGGGGGGUUCAUUUUUGCUGGGUCAAUGUCACAACCUAGAUCCUGGAAAACUGCCAUUUUCACAGCAGUUAGGGUACAAAGUAUUAUUCCAGACACUAACAGCCACUGCUCAACUGUCCCUAUUUACUUCAGAUUUGAAAAACAACUGGGCUUAUUCUGGUUAUCAAAAAAUAUUCUGUUUGUUCUCAUGCCUCACUACAUUAGCUUCACUGCAUCUGAGAAUCCUCCAUCUUCCCCUACUGCUCUCAGCAUUUGUCACCCCAGUGUGCCUUCACUGCUGGCUCCAGGAAAACUGCCCUUCCUGUCCCUGUCCCUGUCCAUGCCUCUCGACCCUGUCUCCAGACACUGGUUUCUGUACCAGAGCCCCCCUCCUUGCCCCUUAUGGGACUCACUCACACAUGGGAGCAGUGUAAUUCAGCAAAGGUGGUGAAUGCAUUUUCUUUCCCAGAGGAAUGCAUUACCGCUGAACACCCAGCUAUCACAGUGUCUUUAGUAAUGCCUCUCUGAAUAGAAAACACAUAGAGGUGGAAAAAUAAUGUAGUAAUAUAAAUGAAUAAAGUUCUCCCUUUUUGCCUAGUUUCCUAUGGUAAUUAUUAAACUUUUCUAAAUUAAUUUACUGAGGUCUUCAUAUCCUCUACUAUGCAUUAAGCUUCAUUAUUACAAAAUAUUACAGAUCUUUUAUCAUCUCUGACUGCUUGUUUUCAGUUUAACAAGAAUAAUAAAGGGACCAAUUGCUGGGAAUGAGACAGGCAUACACAAUGUUCUUAAGCUUACUAAUUUUUGUUGUGCACCGAGCAUUAUCCAGACUUCCUCGUCGGCUGACAAAUGUCUCCACUGAUCUUUUUUCCUGUCCUUUCUCUGGGGAGCACAAAGCAUAUUCUCACGUGAGUUUCUGAAGAACCUCACAAGUGGAGCAUUCAUUUACCCUCCUGGCUUUUAACUACCUGAAAUUAAAGCAAGCCUAAGUCACUGCGAGUCAUCUGAACAGUGAAUCACAGACUCCAUGACAAGUUUCUAGACAUACAAGUAUCAGUCACUCCUUCAGAGCUCUCUGAAAGAUGUCUGUCUUAAUUGCUUCUGCCACAACAAGGUCCAAACAUAUGAGAGCUAUGUCAUACUAACCAGGAUUAGGCCACGAGGUGGGCAAGAAGAACCCCAUGA